GGUCUGUGCCGUACUGCCCUGAAUGUGCCCUAUCUUGUCUGAUCUCAGAAGCUAAACAGGGUCAGGCCUGGUUAGUACUUGGACAGGGGAGGGUUGAGCCUAAAAUAUUACUAGAAAGAAUAUAGGAAAGGAUCU
rnacentral:rRNA from 1 species